rnacentral:rRNA from 1 species
AGAGUUUGAUCCUGGCUCAGGAUGAACGCUGGCGGCGUGCCUAACACAUGCAAGUCGAGCGAUUCUCUUCGGAGAAGAGCGGCGGACGGGUGAGUAACGCGUGGGUAACCUGCCCUGUACACACGGAUAACAUACCGAAAGGUAUGCUAAUACGAGAUAAUAUGCUUUUAUCGCAUGGUAGAAGUAUCAAAGCUUUUGCGGUACAGGAUGGACCCGCGUCUGAUUAGCUAGUUGGUAAGGUAACGGCUUACCAAGGCGACGAUCAGUAGCCGACCUGAGAGGGUGAUCGGCCACAUUGGAACUGAGACACGGUCCAAACUCCUACGGGAGGCAGCAGUGGGGAAUAUUGCACAAUGGGCGAAAGCCUGAUGCAGCAACGCCGCGUGAGCGAUGAAGGCCUUCGGGUCGUAAAGCUCUGUCCUCAAGGAAGAUAAUGACGGUACUUGAGGAGGAAGCCCCGGCUAACUACGUGCCAGCAGCCGCGGUAAUACGUAGGGGGCUAGCGUUAUCCGGAAUUACUGGGCGUAAAGGGUGCGUAGGUGGUUUCUUAAGUCAGAGGUGAAAGGCUACGGCUCAACCGUAGUAAGCCUUUGAAACUGGGAAACUUGAGUGCAGGAGAGGAGAGUGGAAUUCCUAGUGUAGCGGUGAAAUGCGUAGAUAUUAGGAGGAACACCAGUUGCGAAGGCGGCUCUCUGGACUGUAACUGACACUGAGGCACGAAAGCGUGGGGAGCAAACAGGAUUAGAUACCCUGGUAGUCCACGCCGUAAACGAUGAGUACUAGCUGUCGGAGGUUACCCCCUUCGGUGGCGCAGCUAACGCAUUAAGUACUCCGCCUGGGAAGUACGCUCGCAAGAGUGAAACUCUCAAAGGAAUUGACGGGGACCCGCACAAGUAGCGGAGCAUGUGGUUUAAUUCGAAGCAACGCGAAGAACCUUACCUAAGCUUGACAUCCUUUUGACCGAUGCCUAAUCGCAUCUUUCCCUUCGGGGACAGAAGUGACAGGUGGUGCAUGGUUGUCGUCAGCUCGUGUCGUGAGAUGUUGGGUUAAGUCCCGCAACGAGCGCAACCCUUGCCUUUAGUUGCCAGCAUUAAGUUGGGCACUCUAGAGGGACUGCCAGGGAUAACCUGGAGGAAGGUGGGGAUGACGUCAAAUCAUCAUGCCCCUUAUGCUUAGGGCUACACACGUGCUACAAUGGGUGGUACAGAGGGCAGCCAAGUCGUGAGGCGGAGCUAAUCCCUUAAAGCCAUUCUCAGUUCGGAUUGUAGGCUGAAACUCGCCUACAUGAAGCUGGAGUUACUAGUAAUCGCAGAUCAGAAUGCUGCGGUGAAUGCGUUCCCGGGUCUUGUACACACCGCCCGUCACACCACGGGAGUUGGGGGCGCCCGAAGCCGGAUUGCUAACCUUUUGGAAGCGUCCGUCGAAGGUGAAAUCAAUAACUGGGGUGAAGUCGUAACAAGGUAGCCGUAUCGGAAGGUGCGGCUG